rnacentral:rRNA from 1 species
AUUGAACGCUGGCGGCAGGCUUAACACAUGCAAGUCGAGCGGGGGAAGGUAGCUUGCUACUGGACCUAGCGGCGGACGGGUGAGUAAUGCUUAGGAAUCUGCCUAUUAGUGGGGGACAACAUCUCGAAAGGGAUGCUAAUACCGCAUACGUCCUACGGGAGAAAGCAGGGGAUCUUCGGACCUUGCGCUAAUAGAUGAGCCUAAGUCGGAUUAGCUAGUUGGUGGGGUAAAGGCCUACCAAGGCGACGAUCUGUAGCGGGUCUGAGUGGAUGGUCCGCCACACUGGGACUGAGACACGGCCCAGACUCCUACGGGAGGCAGCAGUGGGGAAUAUUGGACAAUGGGGGGAACCCUGAUCCAGCCAUGCCGCGUGUGUGAAGAAGGCCUUAUGGUUGUAAAGCACUUUAAGCGAGGAGGAGGCUACUCUAGUUAAUACCUAGGGACAGUGGACGUUACUCGCAGAGUAAGCACCGGCUAACUCUGUGCCAGCCGCCGCCGUAA